rnacentral:rRNA from 1 species
UGUAAUUUUAAAAAGAUAUAUAGCCAAUAUAUAUUGGAAAAAUCAAAAACGAAAAUAUUGAUAUGAGUAGCGAAAAACGUUAAACAGGGUUAAAACUUUGUUUUUAACCUUGAGUGAAUAAUAAACUACGUCACCUUAAGUUCAAGGUUUAUAAGGAAAGGCUAAUCCUCCUUAUGUUAAUCGGUCCCUAAGAU